rnacentral:rRNA from 1 species
AUGGCGACCGCCGGGAAGGUGAUCAAGUGCAAAGCGGCGGUGGCAUGGGAGGCCGGGAAGCCGCUGUCGAUCGAGGAGGUGGAGGUGGCGCCGCCGCAGGCCAUGGAGGUGCGCGUCAAGAUCCUCUACACCGCCCUCUGCCACACCGACGUCUACUUCUGGGAAGCCAAGGGGCAAACUCCGGUUUUCCCUAGGAUCUUGGGCCAUGAAGCUGGAGGCAUUGUUGAAAGUGUCGGAGAGGGUGUGACCGAGCUCGUGCCGGGCGACCAUGUACUCCCGGUCUUCACCGGCGAGUGCAAAGACUGUGCCCACUGCAAGUCAGAGGAGAGCAACCUUUGUGACCUCCUCAGGAUCAACGUGGAUCGUGGCGUGAUGAUCGGGGAUGGGCAGUCAGGCUUCACCAUCAACGGGAAACCCAUCUUCCACUUUGUCGGGACCUCCACCUUCAGUGAGUACACUGUGAUCCAUGUUGGUUGCCUCGCCAAGAUCAACCCCGAGGCGCCCCUUGACAAAGUUUGUGUUCUCAGCUGUGGCAUCUCAACUGGACUUGGUGCUACCCUUAAUGUCGCGAAACCGAAAAAGGGUUCGACGGUGGCCAUAUUCGGUCUUGGAGCUGUAGGCCUUGCUGCCAUGGAAGGGGCCAAGAUGUCUGGGGCAUCAAGGAUCAUUGGUGUGGAUUUGAACCCUGCAAAAUACGAACAAGCUAAGAAAUUUGGAUGCACCGACUUUGUGAACCCAAAGGACCACACCAAGCCAGUGCUUGUCGAGAUGACCAAUGGCGGCGUCGACCGUGCGGUUGAGUGUACUGGCCACAUCGACGCCAUGAUCGCCGCCUUCGAAUGUGUCCAUGAUGGUUGGGGCGUGGCGGUGCUGGUGGGCGUCCCGCACAAGGAGGCGGUGUUCAAGACAAGCCCGAUGAACUUGCUCAAUGAGAGGACCCUGAAGGGCACCUUCUUCGGCAACUACAAGCCGCGGACCGACCUCCCGGAAGUCGUGGAGAUGUACAUGAGGAAGGAGCUGGACCUGGAGAAGUUCAUCACCCACAGCGUGCCUUUCUCGCAGAUCAACACGGCGUUCGACCUCAUGCUCAAGGGGGAGGGCCUGCGCUGCAUCAUGAGAAUGGACGAGUAG